rnacentral:rRNA from 1 species
AGCGAACGCUGGCGGCAGGCCUAACACAUGCAAGUCGAACGAAGCCUUCGGGCUUAGUGGCGGACGGGUGAGUAACACGUGGGAACGUACCUUUUGGUUCGGAAUAACGCAGAGAAAUUUGCGCUAAUACCGAAUGAGCCCUUCGGGGGAAAGAUUUUUCGCCGAAAGAUCGGCCCGCGUUGGAUUAGGUAGUUGGUGUGGUAAGGCGCACCAAGCCUACGAUCCAUAGCUGGUCUGAGAGGAUGAUCAGCCACACUGGGACUGAGACACGGCCCAGACUCCUACGGGAGGCAGCAGUGGGGAAUCUUGCGCAAUGGGCGAAAGCCUGACGCAGCCAUGCCGCGUGAAUGAUGAAGGUCUUAGGAUUGUAAAAUUCUUUUACCAGGGACGAUAAUGACGGUACCUGGAGAAAAAGCCCCGGCUAACUUCGUGCCAGCCGCCGCUGUAA